GACGAACGCUGGCGGCGUGCUUAACACAUGCAAGUCGAACGGAAAGGCCCUGCUUUUGUGGGGUGCUCGAGUGGCGAACGGGUGAGUAACACGUGAGUAACCUGCCCUUGACUUUGGGAUAACUUCAGGAAACUGGGGCUAAUACCGGAUAGGAGCUCCUGCUGCAUGGUGGGGGUUGGAAAGUUUCGGCGGUUGGGGAUGGACUCGCGGCUUAUCAGCUUGUUGGUGGGGUAGUGGCUUACCAAGGCUUUGACGGGUAGCCGGCCUGAGAGGGUGACCGGGCACAUUGGGACUGAGAGACGGCCCAGACGGCUACGGGAGGCAGCAGGGGGGAAUAUUGCACAAUGGGCGGAAGCCUGAUGCAGCGACGCCGCGUGCGGGAUGACGGCCUUCGGGGGGUAAACCGCUUUCGCCUGUGACGAAGCGUGAGUGACGGUAAUGGGUAAAGAAGCACCGGCUAACUACGUG
rnacentral:rRNA from 1 species